rnacentral:rRNA from 1 species
ACGAACGCUGGCGGCGUGCCUAAUCCAUGCAAGUAGAACGCUGAAGAGAGGAGCUUGCUCUUCUUGGAUGAGUUGCGAACGGGUGAGUAACGCGUAGGUAACCUGCCUUGUAGCGGGGGAUAACUAUUGGAAACGAUAGCUAAUACCGCAUAACAAUGGAUGACACCUGUCAUUUAUUUGAAAGGGGCAAUUGUUCCACUACAAGAUGGACCUGCGUUGUAUUAGCUAGUAGGUGAGGUAAUGGCUCACCUAGGCGACGAUACAUAGCCGACCUGAGAGGGUGAUCGGCCACACUGGGACUGAGACACGGCCCAGACUCCUACGGGAGGCAGCAGUAGGGAAUCUUCGGCAAUGGGGGCAACCCUGACCGAGCAACGCCGCGUGAGUGAAGAAGGUUUUCGGAUCGUAAAGCUCUGUUGUAAGUCAAGAACGGGUGUGAGAGUGGAAAGUUCACACUGUGACGGUAGCUUACCAGAAAGGGACGGCUAACUACGUG